GGUACUAUAGUGUAGUGGUUAUCACUCGGGAUUUUGAUGACGACUGCCCCCACGUGAAUUUCCCGGAACCCAGGUUCGAACCCUGGUAGUACCU
rnacentral:tRNA from 1 species